UGUUGUCAUCACUAAUCAUCAAAAUGUCAUCUGAUAGAAUAUGUUUUCUAAGUUAAUUUACUUUUGAGAAAUUUACAA
rnacentral:lncRNA from 1 species